AUACGGAGGAUGCGAGCGUUAUCCGGAUUUAUUGGGUUUACAGGGUGCGCAGGCGGCGCGAAAAGUCAGCGGUCAAAGUUCCGGGCUCGACCCGGUGACGCCGUUGAAACUUUCGUGAUGGAGUUCGGGCGAGGGAGGCGGAAUGCGUUGUGUAGCGGUGAAAUGCAUAGAUAUGACGCAGAACCCCGAUUGCGAAGGCAGCUUUCCAGCACGCGACUGACGCUGAGGCACGAAAGCGUGGGGAGCGAACAGGAUUAGAUACCCUGGUAGUCCACGCGGUAAACGAUGAAUACUAGCCCUGCGGCGCGAUUGGGUGCUGCGGGGCAGAGUGAAAACGUUAAGUAUUCCACCUGGGGAGUACGCCGGCAACGGUGAAACUCAAAUGAAUUGACGGGG
rnacentral:rRNA from 1 species